rnacentral:tRNA from 1 species
GCAUUUGUAGCUUAAUAUGGAUAAGAGCAUUCAGCUACGGACUGAAAGGUUGAAGGUUCGAGUCCUUCCAAAUGCA